AAUGAACGUUGGCGGCGUGGAUUAGGCAUGCAAGUCGUGCGGAAAGCUCCUUCGGGAGAAAUCGAGCGGCGAAAGGGAGAGUAACGCGUGGAUAUCUACCCUCGGACCUGUGGAUAGCGGCGGGAAACUGCCGGUAAUACCAGAUAAUGUCUCCGGACCAAAGGUGUAAUUCCGUCCGAGGAUGAGUCCGCGUCCUAUUAGCUUGUUGGUGGGGUAAAGGCCUACCAAGGCUGUGAUGGGUACCGGGUGUGAGAGCAUGGCCCGGCUCACUGGGACUGAGACACUGCCCAGACACCUACGGGUGGCUGCAGUCGAGAAUCUUCGGCAAUGGGCGAAAGCCUGACCGAGCGACGCCGCGUGCGGGAUGAAGGCCUUCGGGUUGUAAACCGCUGUCAGAGGGGAGGAAAUGCAUGAGGGUUCUCUCUCAUGUUUGACCUAUCCUCAGAGGAAGUACGGGCUAAGUUCG
rnacentral:rRNA from 1 species